rnacentral:pre_miRNA from 1 species
GUUGAGGGGAAUGUUGUCUGGUUCGAGACCUAACACCGGGCGGAUUCAGCUGCGGCAAAGCUAGCUGGGUGGGCGGUUUCGGACCAGGCUUCAUUCCCCCCAAC